rnacentral:sRNA from 1 species
UCUCUCUAGCCUCCACAUUGAUUUAGCCAUUGCAUGUUCUGUUAGGUGGUACCCUAGCGACUGUCUCGUAGAAAGCUUCAAAACCAUCCGAUUGAUUUUACGUUCUUCAACCGGGCAUUGCUUAAGUUCUUCCCGAAGUAGGAUACUGUUGAAAGUUGUGUUGUGAGCUAGACUGCUCAACUUUAAGUAGGUGAUGAUGUACCUUUGGAGCAAGCUUUGGAAGUUGAGGAAGACCCAGUCCCUAGUACUUAGGAUUUCUACUAGCUCUUAUUUUUA